AUUGGUGCAAUAGCGGUUUGAAACGAACGUGUUUUUUUCUCGGGCUAAAAAUCAUGUGUGAUGAAAAACAGAAGUAGCGUAUCAAUCUCAAAUUUCUCGUUUAAUUGAAAAGAAACUCGGAUUAAGUGCAAUAAAUUGUUGCAAUAGGCCAAUGGGGACAAUUCUCUAUCUCUAGCGAGUGUUUUUAGCGAUGUAAGCGUUUUAGUAAAGGCCGCGAGAGCAAAUCAAAAUUCAAGGCAAUGUUGAUCGAUAUUUACGGUAUCGUGAUGACUGAAUGGGUUCCAGAGAGUCAGACUAUCAACCAGACUUACUAUUUGUCAGCUUUGGCAAUAGUGCGAGAACGAGUUCGUAAAAAACGGACAAAGUUGUGGACAGAAAAAUGCACCUGCCCGUAACGCGCUGUUUGUGAAGCAGUAUUUGGCCAGUAAGCGCACUCCAGUGCUCGAACACCUGCCGUACUCACCAGAUUUGGCGCCGUGCGAUUUUUUUUUGUUUCCGAAGAUAAAAUCUGCUUUGGAAGGGACCCGUUUGAACGAUGGAAGCGGUAAAGCAAGAAACUGUAGAUCUAAAGACAAUUACCAAAGAAGACUUUCAGCACUGCUUCGAUCAAUUGAAAAAACGUAUGGAAAGUGUGUGGGGAGGGGAGUAUAUUCAACGGGAGCAUUCGAAUGUGGAUAUAUAUAAUUUUCAUAAUAAAACCCUUUUUCCUAACCAGUCUCGUUAGAGAGAAAGUGAAUACAGUAAAAGCUCUUUAAUCGUGGGUUACAUAAAUAUACCGCAAAUACAGAAACCGUGAAUACGGAAUGGUAAUUUAUGUGGGAUACGUUCCUAGGUGACAAUAUGAAAAAUAAAAUCAGUUUAUUAAAGCAUUAUUAAACAUUUUGAUCAAUUAUCUUAAGGCUUAGGUAAUGGUUUGAAAAAUAUUGUAAUUUUCUCUUACUUGGCUGUUCUUAAAGGCACCUUAAAUUCAGACUGAUACGCAGCAGUCGCAUUAGCAAUUUGCCUCUUAAAAAUAAGGCUUCGAUCCAUAGAAGGAUCAAUGUUCAUAAAGAAAUCGCAAAGCUCAUUUGCCAUUCUUAAACCUUCACUAAGAUGUUUCAAAUUUAAUGUCACGUUUAUAGUGCUUGUUGAAUCCUUUUCUUCAAAAGGCUGUGAAUUCAACAUUUCUUCCAAGUCGGUUUCAGUGAAAUCUUCAUCUUGCAAUUCAAAAAAAUCCUGUGAGUUGAUUCUAUCUGUUCAAACCCAUCUCGUACUAUUCCAUUUGAGAUUUCGGUUGCGUUUGCAGUCAAAGUUUCAUUUUACCCAUAUUGUUCGUCAUUUUCUGCAGUCGGAGCAGGCUACAGUUUUUUCCAACAUGACUUCAAUGUGUGUGGCCCCAGUUAUUCUUCUUUUCUGUUUACGUUGCAUCUUGCUAUGUCAAAUUUCUUCCAGGAUUCCAUAACAUUCAUUUCAGGAUUACAAUCCAUAUUAUCCAAUAUGAUUUCGAAGAUUCGUCUAAUGCAAUAGAUCUUAAACCCUGUAUUAUUCCUUGACGUAUAGUUUGAGCAAAACCGUCGUGUUUGGAGGUCAAAAUGUCACUUUUAUAUUUGGAUGCACAGGAGUUUCAAGUUCGUGAGGAUGACCAAGUACAUUGUCCAAAACUAGAAGUGCUUUAAAGUCUAAAUUCUGUUUUUAAAUAACUUUCAACUUCAGAAAAAAAAUUCCGGAACUAGUCAUAAAAAAUAGCGCAGGUUAUCCUUGUUUUGAUUUUUUAAAGCUCGAUAUAGAUGUAGUUACUUCGACGCGAAAUAUUUUCAUCCAAUGCAGGUAAAACUAAAGUUUUAGCAAGAGAGUGCGGCUUUUUUUGCUUUAACUAACAUGUUGGCGAUUACGUAGCUUGCUUUUUGUGCUUUGUCUGAGGUUUCGAAAGACAAACUCAUGAAAUUUACCUGCUUCUUCUAUUGGUCCUUCAAAUGUUGAAAAUACGUUUGCCUUUUUAGACUACUGAUGGGUGUUUAUUGGUUAAAUGUCGUAUUAGUUUACUUGCAGCCAUCAACAAGAAUCGUCUGUGCAAUAUGUAAAACUGUAACUUAUGUAGUUUUCCUCAUAUUUUCGAUGAAUAGGAUUAAACGAUCUGCAGAUGCAUCAGAAAAUGGCAGCAGUCUAACUCUAUCCUUUGCUGCCUUAAAUCCAGGAACAGACUUUUCUCUUUUAGAAAUGAAUGUUUUGUUUGACACUCUCUUCCAAACCAGUGCAUUAAAUACGUGCACUUUGCAAAUUCUUUUGGAUAUCGUUUUGCUGCAGCAGUGUCUGCUGAUGCUGCUUCUCCAACGAUUUCAAUGUUAUGCAUUGAUUGUCUCAUCUUAAAUUUAUUGAACCAACCCUCCGAUGCUUGAAAGCCUCCAUGUGAACAUUCCAUCUACCAACAACUACCAUCAGGUUCUUUAAAAUGAGCGUAAAGACGCUUUAUCUUCUUCCGGACCAUUGGACCACUUAGGGGCACCCAUUUUUGGUUGCAGUCUUCGAUCCAUAACGACAACGCCAUUUUUUCUAUUGCUGGAUCACAAACAAUUUUCGCUGACAGUGAAGUUGAAGUUGAAGCUACAAACGACCUUAUUUUAUCCUCGAAUUUUUUCAUCGAUCGUACAGUUGAUUCGUGGACAUUCAAUGAGCGUGAAAUGGAUGCAAAUGACUGUCCAAGGUGUAAACGAUCAAGCAUUUCUAUUUCCACUACCACUACAGCGGUAAAGAUGUGUUACUCGAUCACAAUUUUUGUAACAAAUGUGCAAGAUGAAACAAUAAAACACGCAAAUCGGCUUUACCAUAGAACGGAGCAGCAAGAUUAAAAAUUUGCUUUACAUUCUCAAAAACACCGAUCGAGGCGAAGGCAGCUUAUGUCAGUGUUCGGCAAUAUCAUUUGACAACAUACUUUAGGCAAAGUUGCAAUAAGAUCAAUUUUACUUUUUUUAUUAGUCCAUUUGACGGCAUUUACAAAUGAUUUUGGUAUAUUUAUUGGCGCGAAUAUAGGAAUUGGGUCAUAUUUUUUGUAAUUCGCGAAUGAAGGAAGGAGCUUUUCUUAUACUUCUAUUCAGUAUUUAAAGAAAAUUUUCCUUUCUUGCUUUACUUAUUACAUACUAUAUUCAAAUUAUACGAGCAACUUAAUAUGUGACACUCCUUUACUUCGGAUUUUCUGUCAAGCGAUACGUCCUGUAACGAUAGAAAUUUGAACAAAAGGAAACUAGUACAUUUCUGUUUAAAAUGUGGAAACCUAAGUCAUAUUCUUUUUAUCAGAUAAUUUACGAGUUUUUUAAUUUUCUCGUAGUUGUAAAUUUUUGUGAUAUUCAUAAUUCAAUUAGUUCGUUGCUUUCACAUUUGGUUUAAUUUCAUUUAAAGAUUUUAUUGAUUCGAAAUGACGUCUCCACCCAAUGGUUUAAAGCAGUGUUUCGCAACCUGUGGUCCGCGGUCCCCUGGGGGUCCGCGGUGUCAUCUCUAGACCAUACAUAAAUGCUAAUUUCUCGUAUCGCUACGCUUACUUAGCACGGCGAACGUGCAAGACCGCCGCAUAUGGAACACAGCCCACGCCCACGAUUUGUACCCAAAUCCCCAUUAGCCAGCAGCUUCUUUUCGAUCUGGAGUCUGAAUCUGAGAAUGACAAAAGAUUUAUUAUGUUGCAACCACCAACAAAAAAAAAGAAAAUCUAAUAAAACAAAUGAGUAUUUGCGAAAAAGAGUGAGCUACGGAGAGUUCAAGUUAUCUGGUGAAAUUCCAGAUAAUAUGUUCAAGGAGGCGUUUCGGUUAAACAGAACACAGGCUUAUAAAUUAAUUGAAAAGGAUAUUACUGGUCAAGAUUGCAACGCAAAAAAUUAGCAGUGUGUUUGAGGUAAGAUUAAAAAAAAUUAAUAUUUAUAAGAAAAUACACUGAAUAAAUAAAAAUAUUUAUUCAGUGAAUUUAUACAUGCUAUCAUAACUCAAAAAAUGUUCUUGAGGAAUCGUCUUCAUGUCCUGAGUAGCUUCUCUAGAGAUGUUGAAAUGUUGAGUUCGAUGGAGAGAAAAAUUCAAGAAAUUCUUGUGUUAUGGCAUAAGAAAAUGCAGUAUUAGGCUGGAGGGUUGAUCAAAUUGGCUGUCUGUUACUCUGAGGAUUCUGCUCAACUGAGCUCUUUAUCGGCGAUGAAGCGUUUCUUCUAAUGCCACAUUUAAUGCGUCCGAACCAUAAGGCGUAAAGACGUACAAUUGAGCUUAAAUGAAAGCUAAUUAAAUUUGCAUAACUUCUAUUCCCAUAACUUCCUUCUAAUAUUACGUAUUUUCUCUGAUUUUUAGGUCCAAAGUUGACCAAAAGUUGAAAUUUCACUUUUUUGGAAAAAAUUAGCAAUUUUUGAAAGGCUGUAUCUCAGAAACUAUAAGAACUACAGAGCUACACUUAGUCCCGUUUUGUAGCAAAUUUUAUCUAGUUUAAAUAAUUAUGGAAUAGCAAUUCACGACAAACGCAUCGUUUUAAAGUUAUAGCGAGAAAACCAGCAUAACGGCAAAAAUUUUGAGGUUUUUAGAGUACUACGCAAGAAGCACAAGGUUUUCAUUCCUGAAAAGUUGGAUUUAGAUUUCCCUAAUAGUUCCAAACAACAUACCCAAAAAUCAGAACUAGCCGUUCACUUGCAAUUUUAAUGUACAAUUUGACUGCGUAUUUUUCAGCGGCUGACUCUCGGACUAUAAACUUAUUUCUUGAACUUGAGUGUUAUGACAGUUCAAAAUACUGCUUUGGUAUUAUUUGCCGCUUCCACUUCCUCAUAUUUUUUCAGUGUUUUCAUCUCCAACGGUUAUGUGAGCUUCUAAAGGGUUCACUUGUUAAUUCUCAUACUUUAUUUGGGCUCGGGACAUUGGGCUUUAUUAAGUACUGUAGCAAUAACUUUAUUUGUAUUAUUGUUUAAUGUAUCGAGAAUAUUGAAAAAAUUAUUUAUUCAUGCAAAAAUUAUAAAUCCAGAAAUGAUACAACGCACAAUUCAAACUCAAUUUUAGUCAAAAGUUACAUAUAAAAUAUUGUAACAGUAACAUUAUAACAAAUUUAGGUUUAUCACAAGGUCCAAGGUUGUCAUAUACAAAGAUAACGGUGAUACGAGAUAAAGCUAUGAAAUAAAUAAAUCUGUAGAUUUCAUAAAACUGAACUUUGCACCCUGAAGUUGAAAUAACAAAUAUUGUAAUUUUUAUAAUUUUACAUUUACUUGAAAUAAUCUGUAUUUAAUUGAAAUUUUUGUGAUAAUAUGCUAAUAACUUUAAAAAUCAAAAUAUUAACAACUCAAAAUAUAAUCUGUCUUCAGCUCGAAAUUUCUAGAAACAUUAAUGAUCUUUUAUACUGCACACACUUUUUACUGUUAACAUUACACCAAUACACAAUAAGGUCCUUAUAUUUUUUUAUACCUUAACUACGUUUAGUAAAUCGUUCUUUAUCACACACUAUUUUAAAAAUGUUUCAAACCGGUAUAUUAGUUCAUAAAAAAUAAAUAAAUUUAAAUACCUAACCGACGCGCUAAAACGCGUCACAUGACUGAGUGUGACGUAGAAAGUAAGUAAACAGACUUAAGUGAGGUGCAUUGUACCAGAAUAAACACUAGUAUAAAAACACCAAAUAAAGUUUUUUUGCAAGUCCUUCGAGAGAAAAAGCGACGAAAUCAAUGGUUUCAAGCUAUAAGAAGGGAUUAUGCGAUAUAAGACCAAUUCAAUAUUGAAACAAAUUUGGAAAAUUAUAUGAUGUGGAAAUAAACACAAUGCAAAAAAAUUCUUAAAAAAAA